CGCGAAACCUUUACACUGCACGAGAGUGCGAUAAGGGGACUCCCAGUGCGAGGGCAUACAGUCCUCGCUUUUCUGGACCGUAGGGAGGUCCAGGAACAAGUGCUGGGCAAGACCGGUGCCAGCCGCCGCGGUAAUACCGGCAGCACGAGUGAUGGCCGAUAUUAUUGGGCCUAAAGCGUCCGUAGCCGGCCAGACAAGUCCGUUGGGAAAUCCACGUGCUCAACACGUGGGCGUCCAGCGGAAACUGUCUGGCUUGGGGCCGGAAGACCCAAGGGGUACGUCCGGGGUAGGAGUGAAAUCCCGUAAUCCUGGACGGACCGCCGAUGGCGAAAGCACCUUGGGAGGACGGACCCGACGGUGAGGGACGAAAGCCAGGGUCUCGAACCGGAUUAGAUACCCGGGUAGUCCUGGCCGUAAACGAUGUCCGCUAGGUGUGGCGCAGGCUACGAGCCUGCGCUGUGCCGUAGGGAAGCCGUGAAGCGGACCGCCUGGGAAGUACGUCUGCAAAGAUGAAACUUAAAGGAAUUGGCGGGGGAGCACUACAACCGGAGGAGCCUGCGGUUUAAUUGGAAUCA
rnacentral:rRNA from 1 species